AAGAUAAGGUAUUAUCUUAACCUCCUUGUUUAUUCAGUGACAUCUGCACAAUCGGGAUUUAAAGAGGCUUUAAUUUAAAGUCGGCUGUACUGCAUACCUGAUUGACUUCCCUGUCGCCAUGUUCAUGUCACAGACACAUCUCACUCAACUCUGGAUCAUUAGUUUCUGACUGUCAUGGCCGUGCGACGCUUCUGCUCACACCAACAGUCUACACACGGUUCAGAGGAGGGAGCUGUGUACCAGAUGUGUGGUGCGUGUGAGUGUCAUCUGUGUGUAUGCUGUCAUCUUCAUUCUGUGCUUCGGUUGUACUACAGCAGUUCUAGAAUGCUCGUGUGCUACUGGCUGCCAUUCGACACCGUUUGUGACACAUCACAGACCUGCGGAAGAAGAAACAUGGCGCUUGGAAGGCCGGCGACUAUCAGCUCUUUGUUUAAUAGUACUGUGUGGAUAAUGAGAAUCAGGCCCGGCGUGUCUGGCUGUGAACGGCAAUACUAAUACCAUCUUUCGUCCAAUCAACCAGUACCCUGACUCUCCUAAUUGUGUUCACACAGAAGAAAACAGCAACCCGUCAUACUGGGAGGUUGACCUGGGCAGACCCUAUGAUAUUCACACCAUCACAGUGUAUGCGC
rnacentral:lncRNA from 1 species